UUCACAUUUCAGUUUGGACAAAAGCGACAUACUUGCAUGCACAUUGACUUUAAAAUGGCAAGGAAUUUUUUUUCAGAGAGCUGUAAACCAACUUAGAAACAAAGAGUUUCAGAAGUAUCUGAGGAGGUCUAAAUGUGCCUGUUGGGAAAACCUUCCAACAAAAGCACGCACUUCUGGGGACCAGUAAUAAAUUGGGG